AGGUGUCCGUGCCGGAAGUUAUUCGAGGAACCAAGUUACAUACCCUGUUGAGAAAACGUAAAAUUUUCCUCAUUUUUGCACCAAGUUUUGCCUAUAACUCGGUCGGUAUCCAACGGAUCGCCAAUCUUUAACCUGUGGUCAAUAGAUGGCACCAAUGGCUAUAUUUUCUUCUUGGACAGCCAUGCUCUCAGAUGUCUGUGCCGGAAGUUAUUCGAGGAACCAAGUUCCAUACCCUGUUUGAGAAAUUGUAAAAUUUUCCUCAUUUUUGAGCAAUUUAGCAAAAUUUAUAAAUGUGAUAUAUUUUCAUGCAAAUUUGUUGCAAUGUGUUUCUUUUCACUCAAAUAAUGCUUUAAAUUAAAAAAAUAAUAAAAAAUCAGAAAAAAAAUUUUAAAAAAUUUUCAACUCGAAAAUUUCUUAAGGCUUACCCCUUACGAUUUUUUGGGAAAUUUUGCAAAAAAAAAUGAAAUUGAUUUAUUUUAAUGCCAAUUGGUUGCAAUGUGUUUCUUUUCACUCAAGUAAUGAUUUAAAUAAAAAAAUGAGUAAAAAAUAUUAAAAAAAUCAAAAAUUUCAAAAAAAUGAAAAUUUACUAAGGCUCAUUUUUGCACCAAGUUUUGCCUAUAACUCGGUCGGUAUCCAACGGAUCGCCAAUCUUUAACCUGUGAUCGAUAGAUGGCAUCAAUGGCUACAUUUUCUUCUUGAACGGCCAUGCUCUCAGGUGUCCGUGCCGGAAGUUAUUCGAGGAAACAAGUUCCAUACCCUGUUGAGAAAACGUAAAAUUUUCCUCAUUUUUGCACCAAGUUUUGCCUAUAACUCGGUCGGUAUCCAACGGAUCGCCAAUCUUUAACCUGUGAUCGAUAGAUGGCAUCAAUGGCUACAUUUUCUUCUUGAACGGCCAUGCUCUCAGGUGUCCGUGCCGGAAGUUAUUCGAGGAAACAAGUUCCAUACCCUGUUGAGAAAACGUAAAAUUUUCCUCAUUUUUGCACCAAGUUUUGCCUAUAACUCGGUCGGUAUCCAACGGAUCGCCAAUCUUUAACCUGUGAUCGAUAGAUGGCACCAAUGGCUACAUUUUCUUCUUGGACAGCCAUGCUCUCAGGUGUCCGUGCCGGAAGUUAUUCGAGGAAACAAGUUCCAUACCAUGUUGAAAAAACGUAAAAUUUUCCUCAUUUUUGCACCAAGUUUUGCCUAUAACUCGGUCGGUAUCCAACGGAUCGCCAAUCUUUAACCUGUGGUCGAUAGAUGGCACCAAUGGCUAUAUUUUCUUCUUGGACAGCCAUGCUCUCAGAUGUCUGUGCCGGAAGUUAUUCGAGGAACCAAGUUCCAUACCCUGUUUGAGAAAACGUAAAAUUUUCCUCAUUUUUGAGCAAUUUAGCAAAAUUUAUAAAUGUGAUAUAUUUUCAUGCAAAUUUGUUGCAAUGUGUUUCUUUUCACUCAAAUAAUGCUUUAAAUUAAAACAAUAAUAAAAAAUCAGAAAAAAAAUUUUAAAAAAUUUUCAACUCGAAAAUUUCUUAAGGCUUACCCCUUACGAUUUUUUUGGGAAAUUUUGCAAAAAAAAUGAAAUUGAUUUAUUUUAACGCCAAUUGCUUGCAAUGUGUUUCUUUUCACUCAAGUAAUGAUUUAAAUAAAAAAAUGAGUGAAAAAUAUUAAAAAAAUCAAAAAAUUCAAAAAAAUGAAAUUUUACUAAGGCUCAUUUUUGCACCAAGUUUUGCCUAUAACUCGGUCGGUAUCCAACGGAUCGCCAAUCUUUAACCUGUGGACGAUAGAUGGGACCAAUGGCUACAUUUUCUUCUUGAACGGCCAUGCUCUCAGGUGUCCGUGCCGGAAGUUAUUCGAGGAAACAAGUUCCAUACCCUGUUGAGAAAACGUAAAAUUUUCCUCAUUUUUGCACCAAGUUUUGCCUAUAACUCGGUCGGUAUCCAACGGAUCGCCAAUCUUUAACCUGUGAUCGAUAGAUGGCAUCAAUGGCUACAUUUUCUUCUUGAACGGCCAUGCUCUCAGGUGUCCGUGCCGGAAGUUAUUCGAGGAAACAAGUUCCAUACCCUGUUGAGAAAACGUAAAAUUUUCCUCAUUUUUGCACCAAGUUUUGCCUAUAACUCGGUCGGUAUCCAACGGAUCGCCAAUCUUUAACCUGUGAUCGAUAGAUGGCACCAAUGGCUACAUUUUCUUCUUGGACAGCCAUGCUCUCAGGUGUCCGUGCCGGAAGUUAUUCGAGGAAACAAGUUCCAUACCAUGUUGAAAAAACGUAAAAUUUUCCUCAUUUUUGCACCAAGUUUUGCCUAUAACUCGGUCGGUAUCCAACGGAUCGCCAAUCUUUAACCUGUGGUCGAUAGAUGGCACCAAUGGCUAUAUUUUCUUCUUGGACAGCCAUGCUCUCAGAUGUCUGUGCCGGAAGUUAUUCGAGGAACCAAGUUCCAUACCCUGUUUGAGAAAACGUAAAAUUUUCCUCAUUUUUGAGCAAUUUAGCAAAAUUUAUAAAUGUGAUAUAUUUUCAUGCAAAUUUGUUGCAAUGUGUUUCUUUUCACUCAAAUAAUGCUUUAAAUUAAAAAAAUAAUAAAAAAUCAGAAAAAAAAUUCUAAAAAAUUUUCAACUCGAAAAUUUCUUAAGGCUUACCCCUUACGAUUUUUUUGGGAAAUUUUGCAAAAAAAAUGAAAUUGAUUUAUUUUAACGCCAAUUGCUUGCAAUGUGUUUCUUUUCACUCAAGUAAUGAUUUAAAUAAAAAAAUGAGUGAAAAAUAUUAAAAAAAUCAAAAAAUUCAAAAAAAUGAAAAUUUACUAAGGCUCAUUUUUGCACCAAGUUUUGCCUAUAACUCGGUCGGUAUCCAACGGAUCGCCAAUCUUUAACCUGUGGUCGAUAGAUGGCAUCAAUGGCUACAUUUUCUUCUUGAACGGCCAUGCUCUCAGGUGUCCGUGCCGGAAGUUAUUCGAGGAAACAAGUUCCAUACCCUGUUGAGAAAACGUAAAAUUUUCCUCAUUUUUGCACCAAGUUUUGCCUAUAACUCGGUCGGUAUCCAACGGAUCGCCAAUCUUUAACCUGUGGUCGAUAGAUGGCACCAAUGGCUAUAUUUUCUUCUUGGACAGCCAUGCUCUCAGAUGUCUGUGCCGGAAGUUAUUCGAGGAACCAAGUUCCAUACCCUGUUUGAGAAAAUGUAAAAUUUUCCUCAUUUUUGAGCAAUUUAGCAAAAUUUAUAAAUGUGAUAUAUUUUCAUGCAAAUUUGUUGCAAUGUGUUUCUUUUCACUCAAAUAAUGCUUUAAAUUAAAAAAAUAAUAAAAAAUCAGAAAAAAAAUUCUAAAAAAUUUUCAACUCGAAAAUUUCUUAAGGCUUACCCCUUACGAUUUUUUUGGGAAAUUUUGCAAAAAAAAAAUGAAAUUGAUUUAUUUUAAUGCCAAUUGGUUGCAAUGUGUUUCUUUUCACUCAAGUAAUGAUUUAAAUAAAAAAAUGAGUGAAAAAUAUUAAAAAAAUCAAAAAAUUCAAAAAAAUGAAAAUUUACUAAGGCUCAUUUUUGCACCAAGUUUUGCCUAUAACUCGGUCGGUAUCCAACGGAUCGCCAAUCUUUAACCUGUGGUCGAUAGAUGGCAUCAAUGGCUACAUUUUCUUCUUGGACAGCCAUGCUCUCAGGUGUCCGUGCCGGAAGUUAUUCGAGGAAACAAGUUCCAUACCCUGUUUAGAAAACGUAAAAUUUUCCUCAUUUUUGCACCAAGUUUUGCCUAUAACUCGGUCGGUAUCCAACGGAUCGCCAAUCUUUAACCUGUGGUCGAUAGAUGGCACCAAUGGCUAUAUUUUCUUCUUGGACAGCCAUGCUCUCAGAUGUCUGUGCCGGAAGUUAUUCGAGGAACCAAGUUCCAUACCCUGUUUGAGAAAAUGUAAAAUUUUCCUCAUUUUUGAGCAAUUUAGCAAAAUUUAUAAAUGUGAUAUAUUUUCAUGCAAAUUUGUUGCAAUGUGUUUCUUUUCACUCAAAUAAUGCUUUAAAUUAAAAAAAUAAUAAAAAAUCAGAAAAAAAAUUUUAAAAAAUGUUCAACUCGAAAAUUUCAUAAGGCUUACCC